rnacentral:rRNA from 1 species
UGUAUUUUUUUGUUUACUGUAUACUGUCUGAGUAAAAAUUCAUAAUGAAUCAAAACUUUCAACAACGGAUCUCUUGGUUCUGGCAUCGAUGAAGAACGCAGCGAAAUGCGA